UACGUAGGGUGCAAGCGUUGUCCGGAAUUACUGGGCGUAAAGCGUGCGCAGGCGGUUCGUUAAGUCAGCUGUGAAAGCCCCGGGCUUAACUUGGGAAUUGCGCUCGAAACUACUUUGCUGGAGUGUGGCAGAGGAAGGUGGAAUUCCACGUGUAGCGGUGAAAUGCGUAGAGAUGUGGAGGAACACCUGCGGCGAAGGCGGGUUGCUGGGCUGACACUGACGCUGAUGCGCGAAAGCCAGGGGAGCGAACGGG
rnacentral:rRNA from 1 species